GAUGAACGCUGGCGGCGUGCUUAACACAUGCAAGUCGAACGGAAAGGCUCCUGCUUGCAGGGGUACUCGAGUGGCGAACGGGUGAGUAACACGUGGGUGAUCUGCCCUGCACUUCGGGAUAAGCCUGGGAAACUGGGUCUAAUACCGGAUAGGACGAUGGUUUGGAUGCCAUUGUGGAAAGUUUUUCGGUGUGGGAUGAGCUCGCGGCCUAUCAGCUUGUUGGUGGGGUAAUGGCCUACCAAGGCGUCGACGGGUAGCCGGCCUGGGAGGGUGUACGGCCACAUUGGGACUGAGAUACGGCCCAGACUCCUACGGGAGGCAGCAGGGGGGAAUAUUGCACAAUGGGCGCAAGGCUGAUGCAGCGAAGCCGCGUGGGGGAUGACGGCCUUCGGGUUGUAAACUCCUUUCGCUAGGGACGAAGCGUUUUGUGACGGUACCUGGAGAAGAAGCACCGGCUAACUACGUG
rnacentral:rRNA from 1 species